AUUGAACGCUGGCGGCAUGCCUUACGCAUGCAAGUCGAACGGCAGCGCGGGCUUCGGCCUGGCGGCGAGUGGCGGACGGGUGAGUAAUGCAUCGGAACGUGCCCAGGAGUGGGGGAUAACGUAGCGAAAGUUACGCUAAUACCGCAUACGUACUGAGGUAGAGAGCGGGGGAUCGAAAGACCUCGCGCUCAUGGAGCGGCCGAUGUCGGAUUAGCUAGUUGGUGGGGUAAAAGCUCACCAAGGCGACGAUCCGUAGCUGGUCUGAGAGGACGACCAGCCACACUGGGACUGAGACACGGCCCAGACUCCUACGGGAGGCAGCAGUGGGGAAUCUUGGACAAUGGGGGAAACCCUGGUCCAGCAAUGCCGCGUGUGGGAUGAAGGCCCUCGGGUUGUAAACCACUUUUGGCAGGAAAGAAAUCGCCUGUGCUAAUACCACGGGCGGAUGACGGUACCUGCAGAAUAAGCACCGGCUAACUACGUGCCAGCCGCCGCCGUAA
rnacentral:rRNA from 1 species